UAAAAAAGUGGCGGACGGGUGAGUAACGCGUGAGAAUCUGCCUUCAGGUCUGGGACAACCACUGGAAACGGUGGCUAAUACCGGAUGUGCUUCACGGUGAAAGAUUAAUCGCCUGAAGAUGAGCUCGCGUCUGAUUAGCUAGUUGGUGGGGUAAGAGCCUACCAAGGCGACCCCCGAUCAGUAACUGGUCUGAGAGGAUGAUCAGUCACACUGGAACUGAGACACGGUCCAGACUCCUACGGGAGGCAGCAGUGGGGAAUUUUCCGCAAUGGGCGAAAGCCUGACGGAGCAAUACCGCGUGAGGGAGGAAGGCUCUUGGGUUGUAAACCUCUUUUCUCAGGGAAGAAGACAAUGACGGUACCUGAGGAAUAAGCAUCGGCUAACUCCGUGCCAGCAGCCGCGGUAAUACGGGGGAGGAUGCAAGCGUUAUCCGGAAAAAAUGAUUGGGCGUAAAGCGUCCGCAGGUGGUUUUGUAAGUCUGCUGUUAAAGCGUCAUGCUCAACAUGAUAAAGGCAGUGGAAACUACUCAACUCGAGUGCGUUCGGGGCAGAGGGAAUUCCUGGUGUAGCGGUGAAAUGCGUAGAGAUCAGGAAGAACACCGGUGGCGAAAGCGCUCUGCUAGGCCGCAACUGACACUGAGGGACGAAAGCUAGGGGAGCGAAAAAAUGGGAUUAGAUACCCCAGUAGUCCUAGCCGUAAACGAUGGAUACUAGGUGUUGCUUGUAUCGACCCGAGCAGUUUUACCGUAGCUAACGCGUUAAGUAUCCCGCCUGGGGAGUACGCACGCAAGUGUGAAACUCAAAGGAAUUGACGGGGGCCCGCACAAGCGGUGGAGUAUGUGGUUUAAUUCGAUGCAACGCGAAGAACCUUACCAGGACUUGACAUGUCGCGAAUUUCGGUGAAAAAAGCUGAAAGUGCCUUCGGGAGCGCGAACACAGGUGGUGCAUGGCUGUCGUCAGCUCGUGUCGUGAGAUGUUGGGUUAAGUCCCGCAACGAGCGCAACCCUCGUUUUUAGUUGCCAGCAUUCAGUUGGGGGGCACUCUAGGGAGACUGCCGGUGACAAACCGGAGGAAGGUGGGGAUGACGUCAAGUCAGCAUGCCCCUUACGUCCUGGGCUACACACGUACUACAAUGCUACGGGGGAACAAAGGGCAGCGACACAGCGAUGUGAUGCAAAUCUCAGAAAUCGUGGCUCAGUUCAGAUCGCAGGCUGCAACUCGCCUGCGUAAAAGAAGUCGGAAUCGCUAGUAAUUGCAGGUCAGCAUACUGCAGUGAAUUCGUUCCCGGGCCUUGUACACACCGCCCGUCAAACACCAUGGAAGCUGGUAGUGCCCGAAGUCAUUACCCCAACCUUUCGAGGAGGGGGAUGCCUAAGGCAGGACUGGUGACUGGGGUGAAGUCGUAACAAGGUAGCCGUACCGGAAGGUGUGGCUGGAUCACCUCCUUU
rnacentral:rRNA from 1 species